GACGAACGCUGGCGGCGUGCUUAACACAUGCAAGUCGAACGGACAGGCCCUGCUUUUGUGGGGUGCUCGAGUGGCGAACGGGUGAGUAACACGUGAGUAACCUGCCCUUGACUUUGGGAUAACUUCAGGAAACUGGGGCUAAUACCGGGUAGGAGCUCCUGCUGCAUGUUGGGGGUUGGAAAGUUUCGGCGGUUGGGGAUGGACUCGCGGCUUAUCAGCUUGUUGGUGGGGUAGUGGCUUACCAAGGCUUUGACGGGUAGCCGGCCUGAGAGGGUGACCGGCCACAUUGGGACUGAGAUACGGCCCAGACUCCUACGGGAGGCAGCAGUGGGGAAUAUUGCACAAUGGGCGGAAGCCUGAUGCAGCAACGCCGCGUGCGGGAUGACGGCCUUCGGGUUGUAAACCGCUUUCGCCUGUGACGAAGCGUGAGUGACGGUAAUGGGUAAAGAAGCACCGGCUAACUACGUG
rnacentral:rRNA from 1 species